GGGAAGAUUAGUGCAGUGAUAGAUAGCCUUUUCAAAUUAUGUCAUAAGAGCAUGAAAUAAUUAUGAUGGUGAGAUUCUGGAAUAACAAUUUUCAACGUACCCUACAAAGAACCAUACAGUUUUGCUGUCUACUCACUUUGGAGACAUCCAGAAAGGUUUCCUCCUUGGUUUGGAAGUCCCCACAUAAUCUGGAACAGACUCACUCCAAUUCCCUCAAGUGAUGGAAUUUUAUUUUAAGAAUGAAUGUGCAAAAGAGGAGACAGGAGUCUCAGCCACUCUGCUGACCAGGUAUCAUGCCUAUCCUAUGGACCGUCUUAAGCAAGAGCUAAAACUGUUACGCAUUUGGGCACCAGAAAAAAAAUUUAGAAGCAAAUGUCAUAUCAAAGUGGGAAUCUUCAUUCUGUUCUUUGUUAAUACCCAUAACCUAACUAAAUCUGAAUUUCAAAGAAGAGAAUCUUAUCAAUAUCCAGGAUAAGAAUCAAGCUACCCAAAAGGGGAAAGAGGAAAAGUUCAAGUAGCUCCAGAUUCUUCCACAGCAACAUUCACUACAGAGGACAGAGGAGUAGCCUCGUUACCCAGAAGUGUGGUGCAUGAACCAGCAGCAUUGGCAUUUGGGGGAAGCUUAUUAGAGAUGCAGGAUUUCAGUUGCCAUUCCAUAGCUGUUGAAUCAGAAUCUGUGCUUGACCAGAUUUUCGGGUUACUCCUAGGCUGCUUCUUUGAACUUUGCUUGCAAUUUUCUUUGGUCCUUUGUUUUUCUUUUUCCUAAGAAAGCCUAUUUAUGUAAUUUUUUUUUUAAUUGGAAGUAUUUGUUUGCAAAUUAGAACCACUUGAGGAAUUUCUUAAAAACCUCUGUUUCAUGAAUCAUAUGCUCAGAGAACUUGAUGGAAUUGGUCCGAGAGGAUGACCAGAAGCCAACAGUUUUUCAGAAACUGCCCAGGUCAUUACAAAACGCAACUCAGACUGAAAAUCAUUGAAUCAAGGGAAACCAAAUCCAUGAACCCCUUUUCCAGCAAAAAAUUACUGAAAGAUCGACACUUAGAGAACAGAGAAAUGAAUCAAAAGAAAGAGUUCAGAAAUGAAGACGCUGCGGUGAAAUAAUUAUUGAGGGGUUCACACAAGUGAUGGUUGCUCCUGGUCCCUCCUUUGGUCACAUCAUCCCUGGCAAGCUCUUCUUCAGCUGAAAGACUUGGCAAUGAGAAUGGUGACUUAGCUUACCAGUCUGCUCUGGGUUUCUAAAAGAGUGCCAGAAGUAUGGACUAGAAGACUAGGGAAAAGCUUGUGAUACUAGAUUAGAGUUAGAAGGAUCAGUGUGAACUCAUGAUGGCAUUUAUGUAAACUGCACAGCUCCUGCCUCUGAGGCCCUGCCUUGCAGAUUCCAGUGCUUCAGCUGCCCGAGGCCCCGUCUCCUCCUCCUCAACUCAGAGGGACUGCUGCUCUCAGCUUAGAUUCCUGAGCGCUACACUGCAAGCAGGUGAAUUUCCCCAGGCAGACAGCCGGGAGUCAUGAGGCUCCCCUCUUAGGUUUCCCAGCCUUCAGGGAUUGAUUCUCUGCCCGCUCUGCCCUGUGUUGUUGCUUCUCCAAUAUCUGAAAACACUUGCUUAGACUUUUUGUCUAAUUUUAUAGUUAAGGUGAGAAGGUUAGUACCAGAUCCCCCAUCACAGACAAAAGCAGAAAUGCUGAAAUAUAUGGCAUUUGAUGAUAGUAUUGUAUUUAUGUAAAAUUUCCUGGAAUUGAUCACUGUAGUGUGGCUAUGAAAGAACUCCUUAUUCUUGGGAUAUACAUGUGGAAGUAUUUGGGACAAAGCUGUCUACAACUUACUCUGAAACGGUUUAGUCAAAACAAUAACAAUGCAAAUAAUAUUAAUACCAGAUUUGUAGAGGAAGUGAGAGAGACUGAUAAAGCAUGUAUGGAAGAUGCUCUCGGGGAGAAACUAGACGAAGAUAUAUGGGAAUUCAUCACACUAUUUUUGUUAACUUUUCUGGAAGUUUGAAGUGUUUUCAAAAUAAAUAGUAAACAAAACAUGCCGCUUGAGUGUAGACUGGGAUCAGGCUUCACAUCCCAAGUUAGUAUAGAAAGAAAAAGUAGAAAUUUAUAGUGAAGAACCCUGGGAAGUACCACCUUCACUCAGAGAUCAGGGUCGACAUCACCACCUGUAAGUCAUGUGGACAUCAAGUACCCACUGACAGUAUGUGAUGAGCAGAUUUUCUUAACUCAAAAUUCACAACCCAAAUUAAGAACUAAAGGGGAUGCUUAAAUACAUGUUCCCUUAAAUACAUUUUCAAAUAGAUAAAUAUUAGCCAUAUCAUUUAUGUCUACCUAAUUUAAAUAGCAUCUGUCUCUAGAGAAAUAAGGAUGAUAUAUCUGUAUUUAUCAACCCCAUCCUAGUUCUAGAGUCCUGAGAAAUUCAUGACAUUGAGAAAUUAGGUGCUCUGACCACAGUCCUCCUACCCAGUCCCACUCAGCAGAUUGGUAGUUUGGAUCUCCCUCACUGUGAGACCUCUGUGUUACCUGUCGAUGAAGGCCUACCUUCUUACAGCUGACCUGGCUUGCACCCAGAUUGUCCAGUUUCAAAGGACUGGAUGUCAAGCUGUUGAGCUGGCUUGUCAUGUCAGUAAACUCUCCACCUGCCUGUGGAGACUAGGACUCCUUUCCUGGAAAGUUGGCUGUGGUAAGGACCGAGAUGCACUGGCUCUCCUCACAGGAUUUAGCAUCAGCCUGCAAAACAUCUGGAAGUUUAAUACUCA